ACUCAAGCUCUUUUCCUUCUCUCUAGGAUUAUUCUAUUCUUUUGGUGUUACAAAUAUCACUAAUCUCAUUCUUGGUAAUUAUAUGUGGCUUGUUUGGAGAAAGAGGCUGUGAUUGAAGUAUUUGGAGCUGAGAAUUGAAUGAAAAUGGAAGGACAUGGCCAUUUGGAGAAAGAAAAACGCAGAUUAUGAUGUUGCCGAUGAUGAGGCUUAGGAGCUAGCUAGGUUAUGAAUUGCGAAACAGCUGGGUAACUUGUUUUCUUGACCUAUACAAUCCCGAGGUAGAUUAUGAUGUUGCCGAUGAUGAGGCUUAGGAGCUAGCUAGGUUAAUUUGUGUGAUGUUACAAUGGAUUCACAUUAAUUAUGAUGUUUUGAAUUGUAAUGACUUGUAUUUUGCUUGAAAGUUAUAACAUUUUGGAUGAA